AUGCGGCGGGAAGAAGUGGCAUUUAGAAGUGUUGCUGACUUUACAUUUAGGUUUCGGCAUAAAAAAGCUUGCACUGUCUUUUCGCACUUAGGCGCACAGCGUGUCGUUGGUAAUGAUUCUACUACGGUGCUGCAAAUUCGCAAGCUGAUCCUAAGUAAUCGUUGUUGUUCAUUGGAUUCCUUCGGAAUUACUUCGUUAGGAUUGAAGAAUUGCAGCAAUUCUUCCUGA
rnacentral:rRNA from 1 species